UUGCUCUCAUUUCUCUUGUCAUGUGUAAAUCUUUCCCUUUUUGCUAAAGAUUUCCAUGGAGAGGAUCAUUAAUGAGCUUGAUGUAUUUUUAUGAGUUUUGCUCUGGUAAAGCU